rnacentral:rRNA from 1 species
AGAGUUUGAUUCUGGCUCGGAGCGAACGCUGGCGGCGUGUCUUAGGCAUGCAAGUCGAACGGCAGCAUGGCGGUGCUUGCACCGCUGAUGGCGAGUGGCGGACGGGUGAGUAACGCGUAGGAAUCUGCCCCUAGGUCUGGAAUAGCCAAGAGAAAUCUUGGGUAAUACCGGAUAAUAUCGAAAGAUCAAAGCUCCCUUAAAGGAGCGCCAAGGGAUGAGCCUGCGUCCUAUCAGCUUGUUGGUGAGGUAAUGGCUCACCAAGGCUAAGACGGGUAGCCGGCUUGAGAGAGUGGCCGGCCACAAGGGAACUGAGACACGGUCCCUACUCCUACGGGAGGCAGCAGCCAAGAAUAUUCCGCAAUGGGGGAAACCCUGACGGAGCGACGCCGCGUGGAGGAUGAAGGCAUUCGUGUUGUAAACUCCUUUUCUGUGGGAAGAAUAAGCCUUGGAGGAAAUGCCAAGGUGAUGACGGUACCACAGGAAUAAGCCCCGGCAAAUUACGUGCCAGCAGCCGCGGUAAUACGUGAGGGGCGAGCGUUGCUCGGAAUUACUGGGCGUAAAGGGCAUGUAGGCGGUAACGCAAGCAGAGUGUGAAAGACCAGGGCUUAACUCUGGAUGUGCGCUCUGAACUGCGUCACUAGGAUAUGGUGGAAGGCGGUGGAAUUUCCUGUGUAGCGGUGGAAUGCUUAGAUAUGGGAAGGAACACCAAAGGCGAAGGCAGCCGUCUAUGCCAAUAUCGACGCUGAGGUGCGAAAGUGUGGGGAUCAAAUAGGAUUAGAUACCCUAGUAGUCCACACUGUAAACGAUGCACACUAAGAGUCGCCCGAGAGGGUGGUUCUGCAGUUAACACGAUAAGUGUGCCGCCUGAGGACUACGGUCGCAAGACUGAAACUCAAAGAAAUUGACGGGGGCCCGCACAAGCGGUGGAGCACGUGGAUUAAUUCGAUGCUAAGCGAAGAACCUUACCAAGGCUUGACAUAUAUGUGAAUGGCGGAGAGAUUCGUCAGCCUUCGGGCACAUAUACAGGUGUUGCAUGGCUGUCGUCAGCUCGUGUCGUGAGAUGUUGGGUUAAGUCCCGCAACGAGCGCAACCCUUGUCUUCAGUUGCUACUAUUUAGUUAGAGCACUCUGGAGAGACUGCCGUCGACAAGGCGGAGGAAGGAGAGGACGACGUCAAGUCAUCAUGGCCCUUAUGCCUUGGGCUUCACACAUGCUACAAUGGCGCGUACAACGGGAAGCGAAAGCGCGAGCUGGAGCGGAUCCUUAUAAAGCGCGCCUCAAUACGGAUUGCACUCUGCAACUCGAGUGCAUGAAGCCGGAAUCGCUAGUAAUCGCGGGUCAGCAAUACCGCGGUGAAUACGUUCUCGGGCCUUGUACACACCGCCCGUCACACCACCCGAGUUGGUUUGUCCUGAAGCGGCUUACCCCAACCCGUAAGGGAGGGGGGUCGUUAGGGAGAGGCUGGUAAGGGGGGUGAAGUCGUAACAAGGUU